ACGCUGGCGGCGUGCCUUACACAUGCAAGUCGUACGGGAAAGCGGGGGCAACUCCGUGAGUAUAGUGGCGCACGUGUGAGUAACACGUGACUACCUACCUUUGAGUGGGGGAUAACCCCGCGGAAACCGGGGCUAAUACCGCAUAAACAUCGCGAGAUCAAAGAAGCAAUUCGCUUAUGGAGGGGGUCGCGGCUGAUUAGCUAGUUGGUAGGGUAAUGGCCUACCAAGGCGAUGAUCGGAAGCCGGCCUGAGAGGGCUCACGGCCACGCUGGAACUGAAACACGGUCCAGACUCCUACGGGAGGCAGCUGUGGGGAAUUUUGCGCAAUGCGGGAAACCCUGACGCAGCAACCCCGCGUGGAGGAUGAAGUCCCUUGAGACGUAAACUCCUUUCGACCGGGACGAUUAUGACGGUUCCGGAGGAAGAAGCCCCGGCUAACUUCGUGCCAGCAUGCCGCGGUAAUACUGAGGGGGGCAAGCGUUGUUCGCAAUUAUUGGUCGUAAAGGGCGCGUAGGCAGUGCGUUACGUCUCCUGUGAAAACUCUGGGAUCAACUCACAGCCUGGAGGCGAAACUGCCGUGCUUGUGUGUGGGAGAGGUGCGUGCAAUUCCUGGUGUAGCGGUGAAAUGCGUAGAUAUGGGGACGAACACCUGUGGCGAGAGCGCGUCACUGGACGACAUCUGACGCUGAGGCGCGAGAGCUCGGGGAGCACACAGCAUUAGAUACCUCGGUAGUCCUAGCACUCAGCUAAGAUAGCGUGGUGUGUCGCGUAUCCAAUCACGACGUUCGUCAGCUAUAGCGUUAAGCAUCCCGCUACGAGAGUACGUUCGCAAGACUGAUACUCAAAUGAAUUGACGCGGUCUCGCACACGCGGUGGAGCAUGUGCUUCAAUUUGACGCAUCGCGAAGAACCUUACCUGGGCUCGAAGCUGCAGUGGACCAAGGUGGAAACAUCCCUUUCCGCAAGGAGUACUGCGGAGGUGCUGCAUGGAAGUCGUCAGCUCGUGUCUUCGAGAUGUUGGGUUAAUUAUCGCAACGAGCGACAGGAGUUAUCGUUAGUAGGGAUCAGGUCAAGCUGGGCACUCUAGCGAGACAGCCUCUGAUAACGGGGAGGAAGGUGGGGAUGACGUCAAGUCCUCAUAGUCUUUAUGUUCAGGGCGACACACGUGCUACAAUGGUCGGUACAGACCGUAGCAAAAUCGCGAGGGGGAGCUAAUCGGAAAAAGCCGGCCUCAGUUUGGAUUGGAGUCUGCAACUCGACUCCAUGAAGCUGGAAUCGCUAGUAAUCGCAGAUCAGAACGCUGCGGUGAAUAUGUUUUCUGGCCUAGUACACACCGCGCGUCACAUCACGAAAGUGGGUGAUACUAGAAGCCGUCCCGCACAACCCGCAAGGGGGGCAGACGUCCAAGGUAUGACUCAUGAUUGGGGUG
rnacentral:rRNA from 1 species